UGCUGGAGGUAUCAGAAGUGCGAAUGCUGACAUGAGUAGCGAUAAUGGGGGUGAAAAGCCUCCACGCCGUAAGCCCAAGGUUUCCUGUUCAACGUUCAUCGGAGCAGGGUGAGUCGGCCCCUAAGGCGAGGCAGAGAUGCGUAGCUGAUGGGAAGCAGGUUAAUAUUCCUGCACCGUCGUAUGAUGCGAUGGGGGGACGGAUCGCGGAAGGUUGUCCAACUGUUGGAAUAGUUGGUUUUUGGCUCAUAGAAGGCGCUUAGGCAAAUCCGGGCGCGCAAUUCAAGGGGUUGAGACGAGUGCACUUGUGCAUGAAGCAAUCGGAAGUGGUUCCAAGAAAAGCCUCUAAGCUUCAGUCAUACGAGACCGUACCGCAAACCGACACAGGUGGGCGAGAUGAGUAUUCUAAGGCGCUUGAGAGAACUCGGGAGAAGGAACUCGGCAAAUUGGUACCGUAACUUCGGGAAAAGGUACGCCCCGGUAGCUUGAUUGGUUUACUCCAUGAGGGUGAAAGGGUUGCAAUAAACUGGUGGCU
rnacentral:rRNA from 1 species